AUUUAUAUAGUUUAUUUAAAACAUUACAUUUUCAUUGUAAAAAUAAAAUAUUUAAAUUUUUAUAAAUA
rnacentral:tRNA from 1 species